rnacentral:rRNA from 1 species
GAUGAACGCUGGCGGCGUGCUUAACACAUGCAAGUCGAACGAAGCACCUCUCCCGAAGAUUGACACAGCUUGCUGUAGAUUGAUUCAUUUGAGGUGACUGAGUGGCGGACGGGUGAGUAACGCGUGGGUAACCUGCCUCAUAGAGGGGGACAACAGUUGGAAACGACUGCUAAUACCGCAUAGUAAGAAGAAUUCGCAUGUUUUCUUCUUGAAAGAUUUAUCGCUAUGAGAUGGACCCGCGUCUGAUUAGCUAGUUGGUAAGGUAACGGCUUACCAAGGCGACGAUCAGUAGCCAGCUUGAGAGAGUGAACGGCCACAUUGAGACUGAGACACGGCCCAAACUCCUACGGGAGGCAGCAGUGGGGAAUAUUGCACAAUGGGGGAAACCCUGAUGCAGCGACGCCGCGUGAGUGAAGAAGUAUUUCGGUAUGUAAAGCUCUAUCAGCAGGGAAGAUAAUGACGGUACCUGACUAAGAAGCCCCGGCUAACUACGUG